rnacentral:lncRNA from 10 species
GUGAGUGGGCGUGGGUGGACCCGUGGGCCUAUUUGAUUUAGUUUCUCUCUCCCACACCAUGGGAGCCAUCUUCUCCCUCUUGCGACUCCCUGUCUUAUAAACCAGAGAAGAUGACUAGUGCUUAUGAAAAGCACUUUUGUGCUGACAGGUGCCCUAAGGCCACCAUCAUCAUCCGUGAGGAUUUCUCUUUUUGUCAGAGUGCUGCAGCAGCUGCAGCCUCAUUCAGGGUCUGGCCUGUGUCCCCAGAUUGCAGAGGAGAAAAGAGCCAACAUAGGCCAGGCACAGCGGCUCACGCCCGUAACCUCAGCACUUUGGGAGGCUGAGGCAGGCAGAUCCCUUGAGUCCAGGAGUUUGAGACCAGCCUGGGCAACAUAGUGAGACCCCGUCUCUAAAAAAAAAAAAAAAAAAAAGCCAGGAUAGGUGGCAUGUGCCUGUAGUCUCAGCUACUUGGGAGGCUGAGGUGGGAGGAUUGCUUGAGCCUGGGAGGUCGAGGCUACAGUGAGCCAUAAUUGCAUCACGGCACUCCAGCCUGGGAGACUGCUGAAACGCCCCAAAAACAAACAAAAGAACUACCACAGACCCAACAGUACAAAAUCCAAAAGACCUGAAAAAGGUAUACCAUUCAAAAUAGGUAUCCCUCCCAUUCUGUCCUCAGGGUUCCUGUUUUCUUUUUCCCUGAAGGCAACCGGGCUUCCAGCUUCUUAUGUGUCCUUGCAAAGAUUUUUUUUUAGAGAUUGUCCGUACAGUACCUCUACAAGCAAAUAAGGAUAAAUAAGGCCUUGGUUUCUUUCUUUCUUUACAUAAACAAUAGUGUACCAUACACAUUUCUCUGUGCUUUCUUUCCACAAUAUAUUUUGGAGCUUGUCCUACAUUUGGUCAUAAAGCAUUUCCUUUUUCUUCCUUGCAGCUGCAUGGUAUUCCGUUACGUGGCUGUCCCAUCGUUUUUUAACCAAUCUCUUAAUGAUGGACAAUUGAGUGGUUUCUGCUCUUUUUGUUAUCAACAAUGUUGCAGUAAAUAACUGUGGAUUUGUUAUUCCACACUAAAUCUUGUUGCUGCUCAGUCAUUGGGUCUGCACUGCCUUUAUGAGCUGUAACACUCACUGUGAGAGUCUGUAGUUUCACUCCCGAGGCCAGUGAGACCCUGAACCCACCAGAAGGAAGAAACUCCAAACACGUCCGAACAUCAGAAGGAAGGAACAAACUCCGGACAUGCCUCACUGCAAGGGUCACCGGCUUCAUUCUUGAAGUCAGUGAGACCAAGAACCCACCAAUUCUGGACACAAUAUAAUCCUCAUUCUUCCUCCUUGAAUAUGCAGUUUACUGUGGCACACACAUUCCCACUGCAAUGCUCUAUUCCUGAAUAAAUAUCUUUUUCUUUUAGAGAGCCUUUCUCUGUUAUUUAGGUUGACAGUUUUUAACUGUCUUUUAGUAUAUCUUUGAAAUUUUGGUUGAAAGCUGGACAUGAUGUAUAUGAUAGUAGGACCUGAAGUAAAUCGGCCUUAUUGUGUGAGGUUUUAUGUUAAUCUGACUAGUAGCUGGGCCGUGUUUAAUGUUUCCUAUAGCUGUAGGUGCCAGAAACUUUAGUUUCCUCUAGUUUCAGGUAUUUUUUUUUCUCUUCUGUUUUGACUUUCCCUGAGAACUCUUAUUAUUUUUUUUGAGAUGGAGUUUUGCUCUUGUUGCGCAGGCUGGAGGGCAGUGGCGCCAUCUUGGCUCACUGCAACUUCUGCCUCCCAGGGUCAAGCAGUUCUCCUGCUUUUCCUGAGUAGCUGGGAUUACAGGUCCC